UUUUCCUCCAUUUGUCUGUUUUCAAUAUUUUUAUAGAAUUUCCCUCUCGCUGGCGAUGUUAUCUUAUAGAGAUCUUCAUGAAGAGAUCGAGGUAAGAUAUAUACACCCUGGAUACACAUCAUGAACUAAUACAAUACUUGUGUUAAUCUCUCCCUUAAUGCAUUCCUUUAAAGGAAAUGCCAGUUCCACAUUUGACCUGAUUCUAAAUAUAAAACCGUUUGUUUAUUUACAUUAUAUAUAAUAAUAUACCAAUCUGUCUUUAUCUCUCUCUCUAUAUAUAUAUACACUGUAUGGUUACGUACGCUGUAUAUAUUAUACAUCAUAUCCCUGUUUGCUAUCGCGUCUGUACACAAUUGUUCUGCCUGCUAGACAUAACAGUCAAAUUGACCUCCGUUGAACCCCUCAUAAAAAAACACGUUUGAAAAUGUAGUGCUUUACAUGAAAUUAGAGGUGAUGGCUACGGCAGGAACGUCUUUGAUCAUGGAUCAACUUGAUCAAGAUUAACCCACUGCAAAACAUCUACACCAUAUUUAAAUGCACAUAUAUAUGUUUGUGUGUGUGUGUAAUGUGCCGACUCGGCGCAAGAUGCACCGUUUUCGCGGCGUCUCUGUGUAUAUCCUGGCUUCCAAGGUUUUGGUUUUCAGUCUACGAGGCACCAUCUUCAGUCGGUGGAAUCCACGAAAUGGCUGGAUCCACUCGAUUGUUUGGUUGAAGAAUUUGAAAGACUGAGCAGCAAACUUGGAUCAUGUUACGUCAUUAUUUUGUGGGUAGCGAGCAGUUAUUACUGUAUUGACCCCUGGCACGAAUGUUUGAGGAAUGGCAUGUGGGGACAGUGCUUACCAUUUUUCAGAGUUUGGAACAACAUCCUCGAGAAUUACACACACACAUCAUCAUCAUCACCAUCAUAAUCAUUUAACGUCCGUUGUCCAUGCUGGCAUGAGUUGGACGGUUUGAUGAGGGUUGGCAAGCCUAGGGGCUACACCAGAUUCCAGAUUUGGCAGAGUUUCUAUAACUGGAUGCCCUUCCUAAUGCCAACUACUCCAAGAGUGUAAUGGGUGCCGGUUCCACAACACCAGCAUUGACCACAUUGCCUCCGUCUGGCCCAACACACAAAACGUACUUUUUACAAGCCGCCAGCGCAAGUGCUUGCUACGUGACACCGACAACAGCCACAACCAUGAUUUCACUUGACUUAACUGGUCUUUGCAAGCAUGGCAAAUCGCCAAAUGUCAUGGUCGCUAGUCGUUUCCCCUGUGAGGGUCAGCAUUUGAAGCCCAUGUGCAAUAUAGAGAUAGAUAUGGAGAGAGAGAGAGAAAGGGACAUAAACUGAGACAAAUAAAUAGAUAUGUAUGUGGAUAUAUAUAUACAUAUAUAUAUAUAUAUAUAUAUAUAUAUAUAUAUAUAUAUAUAUAUAUAUAUAUAUAUAUAUAAAAUACAUCAAGUACAGGACAUCACCAACGAGUAAAAAUUAUGUAGAGAGCUGAGUGAUAAGUACAGGGCCAAUUACCAAAUAAUAAGAGCAGGAUGUCCCCAACGAGUGAAAAAUAUGUAAACACAUAAUGAGAGACAAGUACGGGACUAAAUACUGAAAGGAGUCUGACCCCUCCUCAGUUGUCAGCUGCUUAGAACUCCCUAUUUUGAGCUACAAUCAUCUUCAUCAUCAUAUGUCCAUUUUCCGUGCUGGCCUGGGUUAGUCAGUUUGACUGGGACUGACAUGGCUGGAGAGCUGCACCAGGCUCCAGUAAUCUGUUUUGGCUUGGAUUCUAUGGCUGCGAUGACCUUCCUAAUGCCAGCCAUUUUACAGAGUGCUUAAUACGUGGCACCAGCGUGGGUGCCUUUUAUGUGUCACCAGCACUGGCAACGGACCGCAGUUCACUUAGCCUGAUGUGCCUCUUCAAGCACAACAAACCACCAGAAGCCUCCCUCCCUUGUCAUCUCCAUGACGACCAACAACUGAACAUCAUAUUUCACUGCCUCGUCCCACAUCUUCCUAGAUCUACCUCUUCCACAGGUUCCCUCCACAAUCACAGAUCAACACUUCUUUCUGCAAUUGUCCUCGUCCAUACACAUCAUACGACCAUACCAGUGCAGUCUUCUCUCUUGCACACCACAUCUGAUGCCACUUACACCCAAUAUUUCUCCUAAAACACUUAUGCUCUGUUGCACAUGCACACUGACGUUGCACAUGGAGCAGAGCUCAUCCUCGCUUCAUUUCUUUCAGGCUUUCACAUGUCCUCUGCAGUCACAGCCCAAGUCCUCCUACCAUGUAGCAUGGCUGUCCAUACCCAAUGUGAAGAACCUGAAUCGAUUUUGGAAUCUUAUUGGAUUCUCUUCAGAGGCAUUGGCACCACUCUGACCAAUAUUCUUUUACUUGUCUCAGUUGCUUGACUGCGACCAUGCUGGAGCCCCACCUUGAAGGAUUUCGGUCAAACAAAACAACCCUUGCACUUAUUCUUUAAGCUUGGUACUUAUUCUAUCAGUCUGUUUUGCUGAACCACUAAGUUAUGGAGAUGUAAUCACACUAACACCAUUUGUCCAGCAGUGGUCGGGUGACAAACACAGACACAAAGACACACACUCACAUAUAUAUACAAAUACAUACAUAUAUAUAUAUAUAUAUAUACAAUGGGCUUCUUUCAGUUUCCGUCUACCAAAUCCACUUACAAGGCUUUGGUCGCUGUGAGGCUAUAGCAGAAGACAUUUGCCCAAGGUGCCACACAGUGGGACUGAACCCAGAACCAUGUGGUUGGGAAGCAGGCUUCUUACCACACAGCCACGCCUGCUAUUACACAAUGUUUGGUUUGGGGUGGGGGGUAAUUGGUUUUCAAAGUACAUAAAAAGCUAUAAGCAACAGUGUAACUAUUGGGUCACAAAACCUUUUUGAAUAAAAAAUCUCAAAAGCUAUUAUACUUACAGGAAAUAUGGGUUCAAAUCCCUUGGAUGGCCUUUGACUUAAAGUUCCCCCUUCGGUCAUGAAUGACCAUGGGAUUGCACCUAGAAAGCUCCCCUCCGAGGCUCAAAUCCAGGCAAGGUUAUUUAUGGAAGACCAUCAGUUGCCCAUACAUGCCAGCCUCCCCUCUCCAUGCCACUGAUGUUGUCCAAGUGAAAGGCAAAGGGGUCGAUACAGCGUGGCACCAAUGUCCCCACAACUCAUUUCUACAGCUGAGUGAACUGGAGCAACAUGAAAUGAAGUGUCUUGCUCAAGCACACAACAUACAGCUCAGUCCAGCAUUUUGAACUCACAACCUCAUGAUUGUAAGCCUGACGUUCUAACCACUGAGCCAUUUUAGCAUCCACUUUUCCAUGCUUGCAGGAUUUUCUAAAGUCAGAUGUCUUCUUAUGGCCAGAAAAUGUUCUCACAGAAGAUUAGAAAAUGAAUGACACUGCUUGUAAGACAGUGACACUCAUUUACAGCUGUUUCACAAUGUUGUGCCAGGAAGACACAAACAUACACUCACACAUACACGCAUGUAUGUAUGUGUGUAUAUGUAUGUAUGUCAUGUGAUCACAUGACCAACCAGCCUAUCAGAUAUUGUUACACAUUGCUGAUCACAAUGCGCUUUGCAUCUUUUUAGCCUUCAAAUGAUGUCACCCUGCUGACUAGGCAAGCAGGCCAACAUCCCCCCCCCCUGACUGAAAGAGGGACUGAAGCAAUGAGAAAUGAAGUGUUUUGCUCAAGAACACAACAUGUCGGCCAGAUUGAGAAUCGAACCCACAGUCUAGCGAUUGUGAGAGCAACAGCCUAACCACUAGACCACACACACUCUCACACACACACAUACAUACAUGCCAUUUUCCUGGUGAAACAGUUACGAGAAAAGUAUUUGGUCAAAAAUAAACCAUUGUACUUAACCUCUGUUGACCCAGAGAAAGCUUUCAACAGGGUCCCCUGCUCUCUUAUCGGGUGGUCUUUAAGGAAGCUGGGUGUAGAGGAGUGGUUUGUUAGAGCCAUACAAGCCAUGUACAGUGAUGCUGUCAGUAAAGUGAGAGACAACCUUGAAUACAGUGAUGAAUUUAGUGUACAAGUUGGAGUUAACCAGGGAUCAGUUCUUAGUCUAUUCUUGUUCAUCGUAAUUCUCCAGACCAUAACAGAGGAAUUCAAAACUGGAUGCCCAUUGGAAGAGCUAUAUGCUGAUGAUCUUGCUCUUAUUGCAGAAUCUGAAGCAGAAUUGGAGAAGUUCCAGGUUUUGCUUCAAAACCUGGAAUCAGAUGGCCUUAAAGUUGUUACAUCUCAAGCCAUGCCUGGCUCAUAAGGGCCGGUUUCCCAGUUUCCUUGGCAUAUAGGUUCCCCUCCUGGAUGAGACACCAGUCCAUCACAGGUGAGCUGCUAGGUGCAGGAGGAAAGAGUGAGAGAAAGUUGUGGCGAAAGAGUCAGCAGAAGUUCGCCAUUACCUUCUUCCAGAGCCAUGUGGAGCUUAGGUGUUUUGCUCAUAAACACACACAUUGCCCAGUCUGAGAUUUGAACCUGUGACCCCUCAACUGCUAGUCCACUGCUCUAACCACUAGGCCAUGUGCCUCCACCUCUUAAAGUCAACUUGGCAAAGACUAAAACUGUUGUUAACAAUAAAGUGGAUAAGACUAUUUCUGUCAGGUAAAUGGCCCCGCUCAGUAUGUAGGAAAGGAGUGGGAUGUAAUUCCAUUUGUGUAAGGUAUGGAGGCAUAAUAGAUGCAGUGGAAUCGUAGGUAGGUUAAGAGAUAAGAUUACUUUCCUGUGUGGCAGAUGCACAGGAACAAUAAGCAUUAAGAGCAUGAGGGUAUUUAGACUCUCAAAUGCCCAGCAGGCUCUCUUGAGGCAGCAGAUAGUUUCUGCUAUUUAGGUCAUCAAAUUAGUAAUGGUGGUAGAUGCUUUGAAAGUAUUGUUUCUAGAAUAAGACUUGGAUGGAGGAAGUUCAGAGAGCUACUACCUGCGUUGGCAACAAAAAGACUCUCUCUCAGAGAGAAAGGUAAAUUGUAUGAUGGUUACAUGAGAAAGGCUAUGUUACAUGGUAGUGAAACAGGGGCUUUGAUUACGGAGGACAUGCAUAGGCUGGAGAGGAAGGAAGGAAGGUAGUAAGCUACAUUGGAUUUACAACAUCAGUAUACAUGACUGACAAAGCACAACUGUGCUGAGAGAAAAGUUGGGCAUAAUAGGGAUUAAAUGUGGCAUGCAGGAGAGGAGAAUGCAUUGGUUUGGACAUGUGAUGUGUAUGAGUGAAGACAGCUGUAUACAGAAAGUGACUGGUACCUUUGGAAGAGGGAGACCCAGGAAGACAUGGGAUGAAUUGGUGAAGACUGAUCUUAGGAUAUUGGGGCUCACAGAGGAAAUUAUGAUGGACUGAAAUGUUUGGUGAUAUGAGGUUCUAGAGAAGACCCACCCACGUCAGCAAAACUGAGUGCUAGAAGAGUUGUGUCCCUCCCACUUGGAACAACAAUCUUUUGACUCCAAGAAACCAAACUCCUCCUCUUCUAAACAGCAUCUUUCUCUUCCUCACAUUUCCCUUUUUAUAAACUAUGAUUGUCUUUCAAUCUCCUUUCUUGUCCUCUAACCACAUCUCUUCACUUGUCACUGCAAUCCCCACUCCCUACUUGCACCUUCUUGGCAACACCUGACCGCGUAUAUUAUGACCUUCUCUUUCUUAUUCUACCAUUACAUCUAUGUUCUAAUCCUUGUCAUUUGUGAGCAUACCCUGGCUCUUCAUUUAUAUUCCAUGCUAGCUUGGGAUGGAUACAUGCAUAUAUAUAUAUAUAUCGAUCUCUCUAUAUAUUUAUCAAUCUGUAUAUAUAUAUAUAUAUAUAUAUAUAUAUGAGAGAGAGAUACAUACAUAUAUAUAUAUAUAUAUAUAUAUAUAUGUACACCAGGCUUCUUACAGUUUCCAUGUACCAAAUCCACUCACAAGAUUUUGGUCAGCCUGCUAUGAUGGAAGACUCUUACCCAAAGUGUCACACAAUAGGACUGAACUCAAAACCAUGUGAAUGAGUAAUUAAUUUCUUAACCACACAGACACAUCUGCACCUGUGUGUGUGUGUGUGUGUGUGUAUGUUUUGGUCUUUUAUUUCAUCAAACUAAGGAAGAGCUGGGCUUGCCCCCACCCCAAGCAGAUUGAGAUUUAAAACUGAAAAUGAAAUCCCUGAAUGCAUUAUUUUGGACUGGUUUUCUGUAAAAUCUUCCUAAAACCAGUUUUUUUUUUUGGUUCUGUUUUCUCCUUUUCCCAGGAUGCUCUGCUGGAAUACGAAACCUAUGACAAGUCGUUCCCUUUGCAAAAUGAUCUCGAAGAAGCCGUUUCCCAUUUUGAUCUUCAAAAAGUCUGCAGAAUCCUUGACAAAGGCAUCGACUUGGAGAAUGCAACGAAACAUAGGACAUCGAUUCUCCAUUUGGUUCUGGAACUGGCGGAGAAGGAGGAGGAUGUGUGGGACGGUGGGUAGAGUGCUGCUGUGCACUUUCUAUUCUAGACAUACAUGUGCAGUCUCACAAACACAUACAGACUUACACUCACACACACAUACACUUGAUAGCAGAAACAGCUGUAAUAUGUAUGUAUGUAAGACACAUAGGAUGGAAGAGUCACUGAAGAGGUCACAGGUGUGUGACGAAAGAUUCCCAGACACAAUGGACAUAGUAUAUUGUUAUAUAAGAAAGAGAUGACAGUGGAAUAAAUGACUAUCUUAUGAAGUUGGUAAGAUAAUCAUUUCUUCUUUUCUCGUCUCUCUUUCUUCUCACUACUCUAUACUUAGCCAAUACUUCAUUCAAAAACAUACAUAUAUUGAGCUCUACAUCAGGUUUUUAAUCUCACAAGGAAUAAGUUAAAUAUAUGUAUUUGUGUAUAUCUUAUAUAUAUAGAUGGAAGAUUAUGAUCCGAUAAUCUUGUUAGUCUGCAAACAUGAAAGUACGUGAUAUUGAAUACUAUAGAUUAUAUAAAUGAGCUUCUAGAAUAAAUCCGUGUGUGUGUGUGUGUGUGUUCAGACUUUGUUUAUUCUUUGUUUUUGAAGCUAAACAAGAUUCCAUCUCUAAGACAUCAGUGGUACUUCCUAAGCGAUACCAUCGAUGAAGAACACAGCUGUGUGAGUGUCCAGUGAACCCUAACUGUUCCCACUUAUUCUUUACUUUCUGUCACUCCUCACAAAUGAGGCAAUUAUGGAAGGGCUAGAAUUUCAUUGUUGCCAAAACACAAGGUCCACCAUUUGUGUUUGGUUCCAAGAUGUUUUGGUUUUGAUUUGUUCUGGAGUUGGACUUUACUGAGUAUAGUUUCCAGAGGGUAAACAUGCAAGGGAGGAAGGAUUGGGUGAAGUGGCUAUUGUUGGUCAUAGACUCUCAGCUUCCUUAAAUGGGGUAUCCCAAAUAACGUUGGUGGGGAAGUCAGAGGCUUUUGUAAUAGGGGUAAUAUCAUGCAGAGAGAGGACACAACAGGUCUGUGGGAUCCAGAAGUUGGUAUGUGUUACUCAGGGGCUUUCUCUCUCUCUCUCUCUUUCUUCCUCACUCACACUCUCUCACUCUUUCUUUCUCAUGUCCAGAUGUUCAGCAAAUAUUUGAAAAACUCUUGGCAUUCGGUGCACCAGUUAACAAGCAGGACAGAUUUGGCCGGACACCUCUUCACCUUGCGGUCAGUUGUGGUCAGUCAGCACAGAUAGUGAAGCAACUGAUUGAGAAGGGUAGCAAAGUUGAUAAACAGGACAAUGCCGGUAAGAAUUCUUGCUUUGACCAAUACAAAACAGAAGGAAAGUCACACUGUUGAUGUUUAGCCCUAGGUCAGGCCUCAGCCAAGAAAACUAUAAUCAAAGAUGUUCCAGCUGUGACCAUCCUGUCUUUUACUCGGACAAGAUGUAUCUAGGACUGCAUUAUUUUUGUGGCCUCCUUUGUCAUUGAUGUCGUUUGGCCCCAGGUCAGCCUUGAUCCAACUGAUGUUCCAGCUGUGACCAUCCUGACUUUUAUUCAGGCUUAAUGUAUCUUGGAUUGCAUCGUUAAAUGUGUCCUUGUUUUGUUUAGCCCCAGGUCAAACCUGAUCCACCUGACCUAUAAUCAAAGAUGUUCCAGCAGUGACCAUCACUUCUUUCAUUCAGUCAUGAUGUAUCUAGGACUACAUUUUCUAAUUUGUCCUUCUUUGUUGCAGUUUAGCCCCAAGUCAGCCCUGAUCAAAGCCGUUCUGGUUGUGACCAUCUCAUCUCUUAUUCUCUACAACUCUCUUCCCAUACCAACCUUAUUCAAAUGUCUCUUCUUGUUGAUGUUGUGGCCUUCAUUCUGUUAUUGCUUUUCCAGGUUGUACUGCCCUCAUGAUUGCCUUCCUGGUGACCCACUACGAUAUCAUCGACAUCGUCACUCACCUCUUAGACUCAAACUGCCAGGUAAACCUUCGAGACCAGAACGGCUGCACAGGUAAACCAACCAUCAGCAUGACCACCUCCACCACCACCACUAUCAUCAUCACUACCAUCACCACCACCACUAUCAUCACCAUCAUCAUUAUCAUCAUCAUCACUACCACCACCACCUCUAUCAUCAUUAUCACUACUACCAUCUUCAUUUCAUCAUCAUCAUCACUAUCACCACCACCACCAUCACCACCACCACAAUCAUCAUCACCAUCAUUGUCAUCGUCAUCACCUCCACCAUCAUCAUUAUCACCACUACCAUCACCAUUUCAUCAUCAUCACCAUCAUCACCACAUUACCUUACUUACCUUCAUCAUCAUCAUCAUCAUCAUCAUUUCAGUAUUGAUGUGUAUAUUACCUUGAAGACAACUUCCUUGAUGACCACCACUAAAUACUCUGCUCCUUCUCUCUCUCUCUCUCUCUCUCUCUCUCUCUCUCUCUGUCUCUCUAAUUCCCGUCUGCCCCUCCCCUCUAUUUCCAGCCCUCCACUAUGUCUGCAUGAACAAGAAAUAUGAUACAAAGACAAGAUUCCAGAUUCUCAACAAAUUAUUCAGUGCUGGGGCCAGAGUCAAUAUUCGAGACCACGAAGGUGAAUCGGCGCUCUACUGCUUCUUCUUAUUCUUAUUCUUGUCGUCACUGUUGUUGUUAUUGUUGCCGUUGUUGCUGGUGAUGGUGUUGUUGUUGUCGGGGGGGGGGGGGGUGACUCGUUCUUGUUAUUAUUACUAUUGCAGUUGUUGAUGUUGAUACUGUUCAGCCUCUGGUCACUCUUUAUCCAUCAGACCUAUAAUCAUCGACAUUCCUAUCAGGACCAUCCAGUGUUUAUCUUUUUUUAAACACAAAACAUGGGACCACAAUAUCAAAUGUAUUCACAUUCAGGUGUGAUUUUUAAGAGAAAUGUGGCUGCUGUUUCUAGCAGGGCGAGUAACCACAUUGUUGACUCAUUCUAUUGAGUUGAUACAAUAAGUAUCAGUCAUAGAAUGGAGUUUGGGGGUAGUGGGGAGAGCAAUGAUUCAGUUGUCUGUAAUACCCCAUCACCACCACCACCACCACCCACUGGCCUUGGGGAUGGAGCUGGGUGGGGGUCUUCUCGGUUGCAAGAAUUCAGCCCUCGUUUGAGAAGAACUUUCUGUUUCCUACAUUGUUUCCUACUACAGUAACUGAUACCUUUUGGUUGUUUCCUCCCUCCUACCACCAAUGGCCCUACCAAAUGUCGAGGGUUCAACUGAUUAACCUAUCAAAAACAUAAAUCAAACAUUAUUCUGUUUAACCCUUUAGCAUUUGGGCAUGGCUGUGUGGUUAGGGAGCUUGCUUCCUAGCUACAUGGUUUCGGGUUCAGUCCCACCGUGUGACACUUUGGGCAAGUGUCUUCUGCUAUAGCCCCGGGCCCACCGAAGCUUUGUGAUUGAAUUUGGUAGGCGGAAGUUACACACUGUGUGUGUAGGUGCUUGUGCUUCUCCAAGAGAGAGAGAGGGUUACCGUGGGGGCUGGUGCUGAGUGGAAGCACCCAGUGCACUCUGUAAAGUGUUUGGCAUUAGGAAGGGCAUCCAGCCAUAGAAAUCAUGCCAAAACAGACAUGGAGCCAGGGUAGCUCUGUUCAAGCCAUCCAACCCAUGCCAGCAUGGAAAACAGACGCUAAACGAUGAUGAUGUUUUCAACUAAUCAUGCAUUUUCUUGUAGCUUUCAGAUUUCGGUGAUAUGGUUGUUUAUUUUUAGAUUGGCAUUGUAGGGUUGGUGUGAAAGACCGGAUCUGUCCUGUUUGAAAAUAAAGCACGUAGAAUGUUUGGGUUGGAUAUGACUGGUUAAGGGUUAAGCUAUAAGAACUGAGAAACUUUGAGAGAAUGUGAAAUUAUUCUGUUUUGGAAUGGUGAAACUGAAAGCAGAUAAAGAUGUAGAUAACAGCAUGUAAAUAUUAAGUUUAAAAAGCCCUUGAGUAGAAAAGUGAAAGGUUGCUAGUAGGACUUGAACUCACAUCUCAUGUAAUUAUGACAGAUAUUCUACCACUGGACCAAAGCAAUCUUUUGAAUUUCUACAUCUGUUUUAGAAUUUUUAUUCUUACCAUUGAGAAUUGUCUGUUGUUGAUGUCUUAGGAAUUUAUAAACUUUUGAGAGAAUGCCAAAUUAUUUUUUGGAACAGUUAAACUGGAAGCAGAUAAAGCUAUAACUAAUAAUGUGUAAAUUUUGGGUUAAAAAUCCCUUUGAAUAGGAAAAGUCAAAGGCUGCCUGUGGCACAUCACAAACAUUUAGAAACUCCAUUAUUCAUGAAAUUAUUCAAGUUUAACAAAACAGCCAUUGAGAUUUUCUAUCCAAAAAGAAUCCAUUAUCUUACAUGCUGUUAAUUAUAGCUCUGUCUACUUCGAGUUCCUCUGUUAAAAACAAAUUAUUCAUCAUUCUGUCCUUUCUGUUUACCGUAAUUGGAAUCAUUUUCCUGUUUCAGGUUACAGCCCUGUCUGCUAUGAACUGGACCAAGUGUUAAAGAAAUCUCAAGCUUCACAUGGAAAGUACACCAAGUGUGACUUAACCAUUCUCCGACAACUUCUUCAAGGUGGCGCCAUCAUUGAUUGCAGAGCCUACCAGAAACAGGGCGUUUGGUUGCGGAAUAUCCUCAAACAAAAUCUGAAUUUGUUGUAUUCUGUGUUGGAUGUUGUCACCCCAACACAGCGCCACUGUAAACUGUUCCAAUUCCGGAGGUUCCUUACCUACACAUAUUCCAAAAAUGAUCACUUCUGCCCAGACACCGCCAAGAAGCUCAUAGAACACAUGUACAGACCGAUAAACUUAAAACUUAUUUGUAUGACUUACAUCCGAGAUAUUAUAAAGGACCAACUCCACCAGCGAGUACAUCUAUUGGAGAUACCUAUAAAACUCCGACAUGAUAUUUUAAAUGUAUGAAGUAAAAUGUUGAAGCCUGGCCCCACCCAUCCUAGCUGACCCCUUAAGGGUUCGUGAAAAACUAGAUAUUAACACCAACCCUACCCCAACAGCCCUUUGAAUUCUCCAGUCCAACUCAGCCUAACUGGCUCUCUAAGGGUUCAUAGACUAUCAGAGAGUAACACCAACUCUACCCCAACACUCCUUUGAAUUCCCUGGCCAGCUCAGCUCAAUUGACUCCCUAAGGGUUCAGACUACCAGAGAGUAACACCAGCUCUACCCCAACUGUCCUUUAAAUUCCCUGGCCAGCUCAGCCCAUCUGACUCCCUAAGGGUUCAUGGACUACCAGAGAGUUAACACCAACCCCACCUUAAGGGGCCUUUGAAUUCUUGUCUCAUCCACCAUAUAUAUUUAUGUUAAUGGUUUCUUAAGUGCUGGAUCUUCAACCCUACUCCCAGAGUUUAUAAAAAUUAGGGUCCUUACUCACCACAUGGGUUUAUAAAAUGCUUCAGGUUAAAACCAACCUUCAAGGGUUUUUAACAAUCUCAGUUUCAGCCCCAGUUUCCUGGGGUCACAUUUGAUUAAUUUGUUAGAGAUCUCACACCCACCACCACCACUAACCUCACCUCCCACAGCAGACCUUGCCACCACCAUCACCACCAUUUUCACUAUCACUUUCCAUUUCUGACUUUAUCAUCACAAGUGCACCUCUAUGUGGUCGACUUGACAUGCUAAAAAGAGCAAUCAAAGAGCAGGCAGUGGUGGUGGUGGUGGUGGUCAUAAUAGAAGUGGUACUGAUAUCCACCACACUAGAGGCUGACCUCUUUUUAUACCUGGUCAGCCAUCAGUUACAACCCUUUUACAGUGCCAAUGAAUGGCCGUCACUGGAUAACCGAUGACCUUUCUGGGUCAGUACACCUUCCCCCUACCCCACACACAUACAUCAUCACACAUUAUGGAUUAUACACCCAAGAUUAUAUACCCUGGCAUCUACUCGUGAGACAGACCUUCCAAAAGGUCCAGGGGCAUGGUUCUUUUGCCUGCUAGAAGUAACAGCUAUGUGUCAAAUCACUCUUCAACCAUCCUGUAAAAAAGGUUUGGACUGUCACAGCUGGAACACACAGUCAUAGAUCUGCUCAUUCGAGACUGACCUAGGGCUAAAUAACAACAACACAAACCCCUGGCUCACUGUGACACUGUGUCCACUCUUUUUCCCUUCUACUACUACAGUCUCUGCUCCUCUCAUCUAUUAAACUGGGUACCAUUCGCACGUAAGCCCAUUGCUCCCACCUCAAAACUAACUGCCCAAUCCUUCCCCUUCACAAAUGCUUCCCACUGGAGUGCCCUACAUGUUUUCCUCCCAAAUCUGAAAUGGCAGAAGUUCAAACUACCCAACCAGUCAGUGAGGGACGGGGAUGUGGGUGUCAAGGGCCAAGGGUACUGCUUCGCAUUUCUGAAGUAAAUUGUGGAAUAUAAUUAUACAUG
rnacentral:lncRNA from 1 species